rnacentral:rRNA from 1 species
GACGAACGCUGGCGGCGUGCUUAACACAUGCAAGUGGAGCGACGAACCAGGGCUUGCCCUGGGGCAGAGCCGCGAACGGGUGAGUAACACGUGGGUAACGUGCCCCGAUGACUGGGACAACCCGGGGAAACCCGGGCUAAUACCGGAUGUGCCCCCUCACAUCAGUGAGGUGUGUAAAGGAAGCUUCGGCCUCCGCAUCGGGAUCGGCCCGCGGCCCAUUAGCUUGUUGGUGAGGUAACGGCUCACCAAGGCUGCGAUGGGUAGCUGGUCUGAGAGGACGAGCAGCCACACUGGGACUGAGACACGGCCCAGACUCCUACGGGAGGCAGCAGUGGGGAAUCUUGCGCAAUGCGCGAAAGCGUGACGCAGCAACGCCGCGUGGGGGAAGACGGCCUUCGGGUUGUAAACCCCUUUCAGUUGGGACGAAGGUCGGGCGGUUAACAGCCGUUCCGGCUGACGGUACCUUCACAAGAAGCCCCGGCUAACUACGUG